rnacentral:rRNA from 1 species
GUGAACGCUGGCGGUAGGCCUAACACAUGCAGGUCGAACGGCAGCACAGUAAGAGCUUGCUCUUACGGGUGGCGAGUGGCGGACGGGUGAGGAAUACAUCGGAAUCUACUUUUUCGUGGGGGAUAACGUAGGGAAACUUACGCUAAUAACGCAUACGACCUACGGGUGAAAGCAGGGGAUCUUCGGACCUUGCGCGAUUGAAUGAGCCGAUGUCGGAUUAGCUAGUUGGCGGGGUAAAGGCCCACCAAGGCGACGAUCCGUAGCUGGUCUGAGAGGAUGAUCAGCCACACUGGAACUGAGACACGGUCCAGACUCCUACGGGAGGCAGCAGUGGGGAAUAUUGGACAAUGGGCGCAAGCCUGAUCCAGCCAUACCGCGUGGGUGAAGAAGGCCUUCGGGUUGUAAAGCCCUUUUGUUGGGAAAGAAAAGCAGCAGGUUAAUACCCCGCUGUUCUGACGGUACCCAAAGAAUAAGCACCGGCUAACUUCGUG